GAUUCCGCCUGCUAAUUACUUCCGACACCUAAGUUUGCAUACUAAUUACUUUCGGAGCAAUGUGACGUCAUUGGCGGCAUCCCUUUGUACUCCAUAUGGGGGGUAUCACUACUGACCAGUGUACAAGCGAUAUUUUUUUAAAUGAUAGUGCAAACAUAAAACUAGAAUAAAUUUUACUUAUCUCAAGAUGUCUUUUGAAUGUUUUCGUUUUAUUUACAACGUUAAUUUCGUUUUAAAUACGAACCAAAGAGCAUUUGUAUUUUCCGCAGAACAACAACAAUGAAAAUGGCGGGAAAUUUUCGAACUUCGUACGUCACUCGAAGGGGUGAAAUACGGAAAAUACGCGCACCUGGUCGCGGAUGUAGUGACGUAUGAGUUCUACGAGUGUUUUAGUUUCCAGUAAAACACCAUUGUCCAUAAAAUAAAAAGUAUAUAUGAAUUGUUGUGCAUUUUAGGAAAUGAAUAGUGACGGUCGCAGACUUAACUUGCAUGCCUUCCAGUUUCAUGCGCCAUGCACGUAUAACGGUCGUAAAGAUUGAGUCACGAGCCGAAAUUAAUAUUACCGAAAUCAGUAGAGUGUCUUUUCCGGAAGUUGAAAAGACAGUCAGAAGCCAGUAGAAACGUUCAUGUUUUAUGACGUCACGGUGAAGGAAUGCACCGUGGAACUUGUAAGUUAUUGCAUAGGAACUUGUAAGUUAUUGAGCUGUGAACACGCCACAAGUUGUUUGUAUCAGGAAGCGAAAAUGAGUUUAAUUCUAAAAGUUUUUUAUGGGAAAGAGAAAUGCCACAACGUUUACCUAGAUCACUUGCAAGUUUAUAAUUUUAAAAGUCUUAAGAACUUGUAAGUUAUUUUACUUAUUAGUAACUCUCUGUAGUAACUUUGCAUUUCUUCUCCCAGUGCCUUCCCACGAAUAAAGGUUCUCCCUAGUGUGAGGCGGUUUCUACAAAAAACCGACCAAAAAAACCGAAAAAACCGAGUGAACAGGUUUUUUUAAAAAAUAUGUUCGAAAAUCGGUUUAAAAAAGACAACAACACACGCUAUUGAAUAUUUUAGACCUGUCUUCGCAGACGACCGCCUUUAUUACUAGCGAAUCAAAAUUCACCAUCGCUUGAUCCGCUUAUCCGUUCAAGACUUCAAGCUCGCGCGAAAUUGUGAAACGUUCAUGUUUUAUGACGUCACGGUGAAGGAAUGCAGCGUAGAACUUGUAUGUUAUUGGAUUUUAAAUAACAUACAAGUUCUACGCUGCAUUCCUUCACCGUGACGUAUUAAAACAUGAACGUUUCUACUGGCUUCUGACUGUCUUUUCAACUUCCGGAAAAGACACUCUACUGAUUUCGGUAAUACAACAUUUUAGAACUGAAAAUACGCGAAGUGAUUAUAAUUAACUAGAGAAUACUUAUGAUUUAUAUGUGGUUUACAGGUAUAAACUAUUAUAAACUGGCCGUUGAGAAAGAUCGUGACUCUAUUUUUACGACCAUUACGACCAUAUGGAAACGAGGCUCAAGGACUCGUGCCUGAUCACAGAGCACAGGGUCAGUUUUGGGCUAAUCCCAAACUACCCUGUCAAAAUUCCCUGUGGGAGGAAACUGGAGUACCAGCAACCAACGCCUUUCGGUAAAGCAUUGACCGACUCUUUUCACAAAAGUGUCACGAGUCCACAGCGGGAAUUGAACCCACAAUCCUAUAGCGGUGAAAGGCAAUAUUGCUCCGACGAUAAUGCCACCGAACUCCAACUCUCACUCAAAGUGGUAUGCAGGUUGCCUUGUAAAAUUCCACUCGAAACGAUGCGGAUAUUAUUUAACUACUAUAACAUUUCUGAUUUUUACUUUCCGUUAGAGAUCACAGCUGAAGAAAUUGAUGUUCACGUUUUUCGGAAGACUUGUAAACGAAGGGUACAACGGUCCAAUAAGUAUCUUUAAAAUAACCGAUAUUUUCUUCGAUACCUGUAAUUUGUUUGUUACGCCGACUGAAACCGACGAUGGUGAUAGAUUCGACGAAGAACAUAAUACAAUGAACACCGCGGAAAAACGUCUGCGCAUGCGUCAACCUUACCUGUAAUAGUAUUGCGAAGUUGAUGAGAAGCUUUUCAGAACGUUUCCGAAGGCUCAAAAUGGCGGGAAAAAGGAGUGACUUCAUUGUGCGUCUUUACAGCCAGAUUUCGAGCGCAAAAAUAAACAUGUCAUUCUAAAAACUAGGAAUAAAUACAGCCAGAAGGUUCAAGAAAUUGUAUUGUACAAGAACAUGAACUAAAGGUG